rnacentral:rRNA from 1 species
CCCUUAGACGUUCUGGGCCGCACGCGCGCUACACUGACCAGUGCAACAAGCAUCCGUCCUUGGCCGACAGGCCCGGGCAAUCUUUGAACGCUGGUCGUGAUGGGGAUAGACUUUUGCAAUUUUUGGUCUUCAACGAGGAAUUCCUAGUAAACGCAAGUCAUCAACUUGCAUUGAUUACGUCCCUGCCCUUUGUACACACCGCCCGUCGCACCUACCGAUUGAAUGGUCCGGUGAAGCCUCCGGAUUGGCGCGCACCUCGGUGCCGCCGAGAAGUUGGCUAAACCUUACCAUUUAGAGGAAGGUGGAGUCGUAACA